GCAACAUACAUUCACAUCUUCUCUCGGUACAGAGAUCAAAGCAGAACGAGGUCAAAGGUCAGGAGAAGCCGGGAAUCAGCCUCUUUCUCAACCAGAACUUCUUCCCACUGGCUCUCGCUCAACCUCUCAAUGCAGAUCAGAGGAAGUGAGUUUAUGUCCUGCUUUGGCUGGAAAAAAUUGAAAUGGUUUUUUCGUUUUUCUCGGAAUCAUUAUGGGGAAAUAUCACAGCCAAAGGCAGUGAAUAAGUACCGCCGCGGUCGGGCUGAUAGCAGUCAGCUGGAGAGAUGAAAAGAGCCGUUCAUUAAAUUACAGGAAUUACUGGAGAGAAUCGAGGUCAGUGAGAUGCAGAGAAGGAGAGAUGAGAGGAACUGGAGCCGCUCGCAGAGGUCUGGGUGAAGUUCAUGACUCUCAGUGAUAUACGUUCAUCAGGGGAGCGUCGUUCCCAUCAUCCUCGUCUCUGCGCUUCCUCUUUGUUCUGCAUCUGCUGAGCUGUGCGUGCCAGAUAUCUGACAUUUACACAAACGCUCUGAGGAUCGGCUGAGGUCACUGACUCAUGUUACAGAACUCCCACAUACCUGGACUGAUUGAAGCACCGAUCAACGUCCAUCAGAAGAGAUGCUUUACAUUGGACCUCUGUAUCUUAUUCUGGGUACUCAGAAUAAAAAAUUGAGCUUAAUUUUUUUUUUUUUUUAAAUGUAUUAGUUUUAUAUGUAGGUGAUGAUAUUUGAUAAAGCUCAAUUUCAG
ensembl:lncRNA